rnacentral:sRNA from 1 species
UAAUCUGUUUGAUCACGAACCUAUGGAUC